GUUGAAGGCAUUUCCUGAGCCAACAAGUGGUAGUCCUCUUCCUAGCGAUGGAACAGCGCAAAUGAUGGAGAUAAUGAUGAGCAGAUAUGAGGAGUUGACACAUCCACUUUAAAGUUUUCUUGUUGGAGAACAUGCGAGGGCUGAAGCUAAAACUUGACAUUGAAACUGCAAUGCUGGAAUUAAAUCAAUUAGUGCGAGCCACCGAGAUUAACUUUGCCAUUUUGCCACGAGGUUCACUACCGAAGAGAUAUCGAUCUUGCGAGACUACACGUCCCGGCACGUCAAGGCUGUUCCAGCUCCGAAAGUUACAACACCAGUAAUUUACUUAUGACUGACUAGGUACCACGGAGAGCAAGAUUGGCUUCCGUGGAAGAUGGACAAGUUCCUCUCGUGGCCGAGGACAGUGCCAGUCCCAAGUCGCAGUAGCAGAUCAGGCUCCGGAGCACCUUCUCCAAAGCCCGUAUUUUCAGGAUCCGGGCUCGAGUACCUCAAGUUUUACCCCGCACUAUGAGGUCGUCUAGUUUUGGUAGCUUUUCUAACGGAAUAUGUUU